rnacentral:rRNA from 1 species
AGUGAACGCUGGCGGUAGGCCUAACACAUGCAAGUCGAACGGCAGCACAGUAAGAGCUUGCUCUUACGGGUGGCGAGUGGCAGACGGGUGAGGAAUACAUCGGAAUCUACUUUUUCGUGGGGGAUAACGUAGGGAAACUUCCGCUAAUACCGCAUACGACCUACGGGUGAAAUCAGGGGAUCUUCGGACCUUGCGCGAUUGAAUGAGCCGAUGUCGGAUUAGCUAGUUGGCGGGGUAAAGGCCCACCAAGGCGACGAUCCGUAGCUGGUCUGAGAGGAUGAUCAGCCACACUGGAACUGAGACACGGUCCAGACUCCUACGGGAGGCAGCAGUGGGGAAUAUUGGACAAUGGGCGAAAGCCUGAUCCAGCCAUGCCGCGUGUGUGAAGAAGGCCUUCGGGUUGUAAAGCCCUUUUGUUGGGAAAGAAAAGCAGCAGGUUAAUACCGCGCUGUACUGACGGUACCCAAAGAAUAAGCACCGGCUAACUUCGUG